rnacentral:misc_RNA from 1 species
GAUGAAGAACGUAGCGAAAUGCGAUACUUGGUGUGAAUUGCAGAAUCCCGUGAACCAUCGAGUCUUUGAACGCAAGUUGCGCCCAAAGCCAUUAGGCCGAGGGCACGCCUGCCUGGGCGUCACACGUCGUUGCCCCCCCAUCUACUCCUUCGGGAUUGCGGGGGGCGGAUGAUGGCCUCCCGUGCGCCUCGUCGCGCGGUUGGCAUAAAUGCCAAGUCCUCGGCGACGCACGCCACGACAAUCGGUGGUUGCGAAACCUCGGUUGCCCGUCGUGUGCGGUCGUCGCGCAUCGAGGGCUCGAAAAAAUUGUCGGGCUCCGGCUCGGCUUUCAACGCGACCCCAGGUCAGGCGGGGUUACCCGCUGAAUUUAAGCAUAUCAAUAAGCGGAGGA